GACGAACGCUGGCGGCGUGCUUAACACAUGCAAGUCGAACGGAAAGGCCCUGCUUUUGUGGGGUGCUCGAGUGGCGAACGGGUGAGUAACACGUGAGUAACCUGCCCUUGACUUUGGGAUAACUUCAGGAAACUGGGGCUAAUACCGGAUAGGAGCUCCUGCUGCAUGGUGGGGGUUGGAAAGUUUCGGCGGUUGGGGAUGGACUCGCGGCUUAUCAGCUUGUUGGUGGGGUAGUGGCUUACCAAGGCUUUGACGGGUAGCCGGCCUGAGAGGGUGACCGGCCACAUUGGGACUGAGAUACGGCCCAGACUCGUACGGGAGGCAGCAGUGGGGAAUAGUGAACAAUGGGCGGAAGCCUGAUGCAGCAACGCCGCGUGCGGGAUGACGGCCUUCGGGUUGUAAACCGCUUUCGCCUGUGACGAAGAGUGAGUGACGGUAAUGGGUAAAGAAGCACCGGCUAACUACGUG
rnacentral:rRNA from 1 species